UACGUAGGCAGCAAGCGUUGUUCGGAGUUACUGGGCGUAAAGAGUGCGUAGGCGGUUGACCAAGUCUGUCGUGAAAUCUCCCGGCUUAACUGGGAGGGUGCGGUGGAAACUGGUUGGCUUGAGAGUGGGAGAGGUAAGCGGAAUUCCUGGUGUAGCGGUGAAAUGCGUAGAUAUCAGGAGGAACACCGGUGGUGUAGACGGCUUACUGGACCACGACUGACGCUGAGGCACGAAAGCGUGGGUAGCAAACAG
rnacentral:rRNA from 1 species